CAUCCUUCCUUCUUGCCUUCCCACUUUCUUUCUUUUUGCCUUUACGUUUUCUCAGAUCUUCCUUCUCUCCAUUCCAUAUUUCCAUUCCUUGUCUCACUUUGGCUUCCUCUUCUCACUUUCACUUCUUUCCCUUCUUCCACAUCUUUUGCUUGUUCCUGUCUUUCCACACUAUACUCUUUCCUUUCCCACUUUCUUCAAUACUCUCGCUCACUUACCUCGGUUUCGACCAAAACUAUCGUAUUUUUAGGGGUUAUUUUCAGAUACGCUCAAAGAUGACAUGGCACACUUCUUGCAGAGUAUAGGAUAAUUAACAAGGUCUACAGACAAAGCUGGGAACUAGAGUCUCAAAAUGGAACUUAACUUAUUCAGAAAAAAACAACAACGCGAACACAACUGACAAAUGAUUCAACUAUUUCCUGAGAGACCUAAGAGCUAGUCUCUCUAACAGCCUCAGCUUCCUGUUUCGUCAAAUUUCCUCCCCGAAAAGUAAAGGAAAUGACAGUAAGCCCGGCUGCAAAGGAGGCUACCUAAGAGCCAGAGCACGCAGUUUUGAACAAACUUACCGUCAUCCAUCUCAGUCGCAUUGAUUCGAUGGAAUCUGGAAAAAGGAAAAAACACCAUUGGAUCAAACAAGUUAAAAUUAACAAUGGUAAGAGAAAAGAAAACUUAGAUAAGGUAUGCAAUACAAGUAAAAUUAAUUUAGUUGCACUGGAUAUAAUCGCGCUCCUUUAAAACUUUAAAUUUGAUGUAAAAAUGAUCUAAAUAUCAUGUAAGUAAUAUUUACA